UACAGAGGAUGCAAGCGUUAAUCGGAAUUACUGGGCGUAAAGGGUGCGUAGGCGGUUGUUUAAGUCUGUCGUGAAAUCCCCGGGCUCAACCUGGGAAUGGCGAUGGAUACUGGACAGCUAGAGUGUGUCAGAGGAUGGUGGAAUUCCCGGUGUAGCGGUGAAAUGCGUAGAGAUCGGGAGGAACAUCAGUGGCGAAGGCGGCCAUCUGGGACAACACUGACGCUGAAGCACGAAAGCGUGGGGAGCAAACAGG
rnacentral:rRNA from 1 species